rnacentral:siRNA from 1 species
UCGCUGCCGUGAUCGUGGUCUGC